rnacentral:rRNA from 1 species
GAUUAACGCUGGCGGCGUGCAUGAAACAUGCAAGUCGAGCGCGGUACGUGGCUUCGGUCACGUAUCUAGCGGCGCACGGGUGAGUAACACGUGAGCAACCUACCUUCGAGUUCGGGAUAGCCCUGGGAAACCAGGAUUAAUACCGGAUGUGGUCACGACGGGACAUCCCGAUGUGAAAAAAGGCGCAAGCCGCUCGAUGACGGGCUCGCGGCCUAUUAGCUUGUUGGUGGGGUAACGGCCUACCAAGGCGACGAUGGGUAGCUGGUCUGAGAGGACG